rnacentral:rRNA from 1 species
UACAGAGGGGGCAAGCGUUGUUCGGAAUUACUGGGCGUAAAGGGCGCGUAGGUGGCCUUCUAAGUUGAACGUGAAAUCCCUGGGCUCAACCCAGGAACUGCGUCCAAGACUGGGAGGCUUGAAUCCGGGAGAGGGAUGCGGAAUUCCAGGUGUAGCGGUGGAAUGCGUAGAGAUCCGGAGGAAGACCGGUGGCGAAGGCGGCCUGCUGGGCAGUUACUGACACUGAGGCGCGACAGCGUGGGGAGCGAACAGG